rnacentral:tRNA from 1 species
GCAGCCGUGGCCGAGUGUUUAAGGUGAUGGACUAGAAAUCCAUUGGGGUCUCCCCGCACAGGUUCGAUCUUGUCGACUGCG